rnacentral:rRNA from 1 species
GAGACCCACGCCAACAGUUGCCAGCAUGUCCUCCGGGAUGGUGGGGACACUGUUGGGACCGCCUCUGCUAAAGAGGAGGAAGGAAUGGGCAACGGUAGGUCAGCAUGCCCCGAAUUAUCCGGGCUACACGCGGGCUACAAUGGUCAGGACAAUGGGUAUCAACACCGAAAGGUGAAGGCAAUCUCCUAAACCUGUCCUUAGUUCGGAUUGUGGGCUGCAACUCGCCCACAUGAAGCUGGAAUCUGUAGUAAUCGCGUCUCAAAAUGGCGCGGUGAAUAU